CGCCUGAUCACUUUAUUAGCUGAAAAGAUAAAUUUAAACCACAGACUCAUAGCAAAAAGAAAUAAGUCCACAUUCACCUCCUAAUUAAACUGAGAGAAGCCAGCUACAUCCAAGGACACUCGGCCCACUCAAUUAAUUAACAUCUAUUACAAUCAGAAAACAAUCUAAUUCAAUUAAAAUGUUUCCACAAAAGGAGUUUAAUGACUUUCCCCAAAAUAAAGUACAUUCAACUGAAGCAUUUAUUAUGCAAGGCAGUGUCAUGAGGGGAGCUGAAAUGAGGGCUCUGAUGUGGGCAGCAGGCUCCGAGGAAGGGUGAGGGCCUGGGCCAGCCCCUUGCUGAGGGAGGGAGGGGGUGCUUCGGGACACAGACACCCUCUAAAGAGCACACCGGCCCAGAGCUAGAGGGGCCCUCAACAGCUGCUUUCAUCCUCACCCCCCACUUCCCAUCGCAGCCCUGUCCCUUGUCAGUUUACCACUGUGCCUGACUCUCCCCCAAUAAAGGGUCCAGGUUGUGUAGGGAGGAAGGCAGGCUUGGAUUCAGAGGCAUGGACCCAUUUCUGCCUCUGAUGUGCUAUGUCACCAUCGGCAGGUAGGAGGUGUUCAGAGAAACGACUGUUAACCAGGCUUUCUGAAAUUCAGCCAGGAGAUAUUUGGAAAGCUGGAGAAAUUGCCACUCAAAAGCUGCAAGCAGUUUUCUGAUUCUUACGAGGCCGAGAUUUGAAUUCACAGUAUCUUUGUUCAGCAAAAAUCCCCCGAUGAGUCCUUGGUUAUAAAAACAGAAAGUAAAUACCCACUCAGAGUUUGCCUUUUUGAUCAACAAUAUUUGAGCACUUACUAUUGCCUGGCAGUGGACUAAAUACACUUGCUAGACUGUGUCCUUUCAUCCUGACAAUGACCCUGUGAGGUAGGAAUCCCCAUCAAAACCAAGGCUCAGAGAAUGGCUGAGGACACAGUUUGUCAGAGGUGGAACCUGGAGCUAAAUCCAGAUUCAGGCAGAGAGGCCCCUUACAAGCUCAGAAUAGCUGAAGGACCCUGGGGAGGAGGGGGUCUUGGAGUCACUGGACUUGGGUGGUCUUUCCUUUUGAAAAGCUCCCCUGGUGACUCUGUCACUUUGACCUUGGAGAUCUGAAAUCUCUAUUACCCACCACCAUGCUGACUACUGGGGUCAGCCCUUGCCCAACACCCCAGGACAGGAUGAAUCAAGCCCCUUUCCAUCCAAUUCAAUUGCACCAACAUUGACUGAACUGUAUACCCUGUCACCAGCAUGGAGUAUAAGCUUUAAAAAAAAAGCUUUGUUAAUUUGAUAGGUGGAAAAUGAGAUGCCAACAAUAUGAUCUUAAUUUAAAAAGAAAAAGGCAGAGUAAACAACAGUUGCAGGAUAUACAGUAAAUGUUAAUGGUGGUCAUUUCUAGAUGGUGACCUAGUGGGUCAAUUUUACCUUCCACAUUUUCUACUGUAAACAGGCAUUAUUUUUAUAAUCAAUCAGAAAAAGCUGUUAAAAUUUUUUUUUAGAUAUGCCACCUUAGGUUAUUUCUCUUGUUUCUAGAAAGCUUAAACAUUUGGGUUCUUCUGUGACUUCUCUGUUCUCAUCUAUUAGUGUUUUAUGUUCCUAAUGAUUUGUAUCAGCUCUUUAUAACUCAGAAUUUUAAUCCUAUGUCUGUUAUAUGUGUUGAAAUCUUUUUUCUGGGUUAUUUACUUUUCAAUUUUGUUUCUGCUGUUUUCCAUGGACAAAGGUUUAUCACCUUUAGUCAAACCUAUUGAUCUUUCCCUUUCAGACACCUUCCACCGUCUCUUAGCUUACAAAGUCCUUUCUCAACAAGAGAUAAAACAUGCAUUGACUUGGCAUUCUUCUAGUUCUUGAGAUUUUUCUUUCCUUUGUGGCAUGUAACUCUGUUUGAUCUGUUUGGAUUUGUAUUAGCUUAUAGUAUGAAGAUUAAUAUUUUCCAAAUAGCUAACCAAUUGUACCAGCACAUUGGAUAAACUUCCUUCCCUUCUCAUAUAGUGAUGUCUUACUUAUCCUAUAUUACAUAUACUAGUUUCAUACUGAUACUAUUUUUAGGUUACCUAUUCUAUUACAUUGAUCUGUUUUUUCUUGUACCUGUAUCACACUGUUUUAUUGAUCAUAGCUUUUUCAUAUGCUCAAUUAUGCCUUCAAUUUCAAAAAUUUCUGGGUUUUUCAUGUAUUCGUUCCUCCAACUGACUCUGAAAACC
rnacentral:lncRNA from 10 species